rfam:Gossypium hirsutum cultivar TM-1 chromosome 23, whole genome shotgun sequence
CUAAUGGAGUUUUUAAACUCCACAAAUAAAAUCAGGGGUUGACAAG